rnacentral:rRNA from 1 species
CACAUGCAAGUCGAGCGGCAGCUGGGAAAGUAGCUUGCUACUUUUGCCGGCGAGCGGCGGACGGGUGAGUAAUGCCUGGGGAUCUGCCCAGUCGAGGGGGAUAACAGUUGGAAACGACUGCUAAUACCGCAUACGCCCUACGGGGGAAAGGAGGGGACCUUCGGGCCUUUCGCGAUUGGAUGAACCCAGGUGGGAUUAGCUAGUUGGUGGGGUAAUGGCUCACCAAGGCGACGAUCCCUAGCUGGUCUGAGAGGAUGAUCAGCCACACUGGAACUGAGACACGGUCCAGACUCCUACGGGAGGCAGCAGUGGGGAAUAUUGCACAAUGGGGGAAACCCUGAUGCAGCCAUGCCGCGUGUGUGAAGAAGGCCUUCGGGUUGUAAAGCACUUUCAGCGAGGAGGAAAGGUUGCAGCUAAUAUCUGUCAGCUGUGACGUUACUCGCAGAAGAAGCACCGGCUAACUCCGUGCCAGCAGCCGCGG